UACGUAGGGUGCGAGCGUUGUCCGGAAUUAUUGGGCGUAAAGAGCUCGUAGGCGGUGUGUCACGUCGUUCGUGAAAACCUGCAGCUUAACUGUGGGCGUGCGGUCGAUACGGGCAUCACUGGAGUUCGGCAGGGGAGACUGGAAUUCCUGGUGGUAGCGGUGAAAUGCGCAGAUAUCAGGAGGAACACCGGUGGCGAAGGCGGGUCUCUGGGCCGAUACUGACGCUGGAGGAGCGAAAGCGUGGGGAGCAAACAGG
rnacentral:rRNA from 1 species